UUUUUGUAGUUGAUGUGACAACGGCGGUUUUUCGGACUGCAGGACUCAAAGGAGCAAAAAU
rnacentral:tRNA from 1 species